AGCGCAGGCGGAACAGUCAGUCUGAAGUGGAAGCCCGGGGCUCAACCUCGGAAGGUCUUCGGAUACUACUGUUCUUGAGUACGUGAGAGGAAGGCGGAAUUCAGGGUGUAGCGGUGAAAUGCUUAGAUAUCCUGAGGAACACCAAUGGCGAAAGCAGCCUUCUGGCACGACACUGACGCUGAGGCUCGAAAGCGUGGGGAGCGAACG
rnacentral:rRNA from 1 species